rnacentral:rRNA from 1 species
UGCAGUCGACGGUAAGGCCCUUCGGGGUACACGAGUGGCGAACGGGUGAGUAACACGUGGGUAAUCUGCCCUGCACUUCGGGAUAAGCCUGGGAAACUGGGUCUAAUACCGGAUAUGAGCUCUGGCCGCAUGGUCUGGGGUUGGAAAGUUUUUCGGUGCAGGAUGAGCCCGCGGCCUAUCAGCUUGUUGGUGGGGUAAUGGCCUACCAAGGCGACGACGGGUAGCCGGCCUGAGAGGGUGAUCGGCCACACUGGGACUGAGACACGGCCCAGACUCCUACGGGAGGCAGCAGUGGGGAAUAUUGCACAAUGGGCGGAAGCCUGAUGCAGCGACGCCGCGUGGGGGAUGACGGUCUUCGGAUUGUAAACCCCUUUCAGUAGGGACGAAACGCAAGUGACGGUACCUGCAGAAAAAACACCGGCCAACUACGUGCCAGCAGCCGCGGUAAUACGUAGGGUGCGAGCGUUGUCCGGAAUUACUGGGCGUAAAGAGCUCGUAGGCGGUUUGUCACGUCGUCUGUGAAAUCCUCCAGCUUAACUGGGGGCGUGCAGGCGAUACGGGCAGACUUGAGUACUACAGGGGAGACUGGAAUUCCUGGUGUAGCGGUGAAAUGCGCACAUAUCAGGAGGAACACC